rnacentral:rRNA from 1 species
GGAGAGUUUGAUCCUGGCUCAGGACUAACGCUGGCGGUAUGCCUUAGACAUGCAAGUCGAACGAGUUUCCGGGCUUGCUCGGAAAUUAGUGGCGAACGGCUGAGUAACGCGUAGGUGACCUACCCCGUAGUGAGGAAUAACUGCCCGAAAGGGUAGCUAAUACCUCAUGUUGAGACCCUUUCAUUAGUGUCUCCAAAGCAGCAAUGCGCUAUGGGCGGGGCCUGCGUUCGAUUAGCUAGUUGGUGAGGUAAUGGCUCACCAAGGCGACGAUCGAUAGGUGGUCUGAGAGGACGAUCACCCAGACUGGGACUGAGACACGGCCCAGACUCCUACGGGAGGCAGCAGUCGGGAAUUUUGCGCAAUGGGGGAAACCCUGACGCAGCAAUACCGCGUGUGGGAUGAAGGCCUUCGGGUCGUAAACCACUUUU